GCUACAACAUCCUAAUAGAAGAAAAAAAUUGUUUAGAGAGGAGAAAGAGAUAAAAAGUACAGAACUUUGAAACAAGAAAGAAAGCAUAUGCGCCAGGAGAAAGAAAAAUUCAUAAGAGAUUUCUUAUGGACUUAGAAAACACGGAUGACAGUGAGGAUUUCAUUAACUAGAGCUUAUGAGUUGGCAUAUUUCUUAUGAGCCCCGCAUUUGUUUGCGUGGGUGAAGACUUAUUUAUGUGUUAUGAUUUUUUUGAAACUCUUAAUGUCUCUCCUUAGUCAUUUCCUCUAUUAGUGUCAUGAAUAUUCUUUCAUAUUAUAUACUUAUGAAGUAUUGACCUUCUUCUUA